UACGAAGGGGGCUAGCGUUGCUCGGAAUUACUGGGCGUAAAGGGCGCGUAGGCGGAUACUUAAGUCGGGGGUGAAAGCCCGGGGCUCAACCUCGGAAUUGCCUUCGAUACUGGGUAUCUUGAGUUCGGGAGAGGUGAGUGGAAUGCCGAGUGUAGAGGUGAAAUUCGUAGAUAUUCGGCGGAACACCAGUGGCGAAGGCGACUCACUGGCCCGAUACUGACGCUGAUGCGCGAAAGCGUGGGGAGCAAGCAGG
rnacentral:rRNA from 1 species